rnacentral:rRNA from 1 species
UCUUAGAAUCAUCCAAAAUACCCCAAAGAUGCCAGAUUCCAUCUGAUCUAGAAAGCUGUGUGGGGUCAUCUCUGGUUAGUAUUUGGAUGGGAGAUCACCAAUGAAUACCAGGUGCUGUAAGCU